AGCUGGUAGCGUAGUGGUUAGCACUGUUGCUUUGGAUGCAAAGGUCAGGGGUUCAAAGUCCCCCUCCAGCU
rnacentral:tRNA from 1 species